GGGUGUCCUUAGUGCCACCUGGUGAAAACGCCCAGGACUGCAGGGUCCCUGCACCCAGAACUUGAUGGGGUGGCUGCGGGCAACUUUGCUUUUGCGUGGAACGUCUGAACGUAUUUACAGUCCAGACCUGGUCUGCCCAGACCAUAUUUCCCUUUAAAUGCUGAAAACUUAGCGCAGGAGUUGAUGUGUACUGUAUGCAUAAACCGCACGCUGGAUAGCUAAGACUGAUAAGAGACUGCUGUUGGCCACUCUGGGUGUGGAGCACAGGUGGGACCUAGAGUGAAAGAUGUCUGUCCACUGUCUCACCCUUCCAGCAAGUCUUGACAUCUCGAGGAGUUUCCACCAUCCAAGAAGGAAAAGGCUGCGGUCCACAGAGGAAGCUGGAGGUGAAUGGCAGAGACAGGGGCUGCUCAGAUAGUGGCUUUGGCUUCCUGUCUGCCUGUCAGAGCAGGGGGAGGUCUUGCUGUAUUGCCCAGGCUGGAAUGUGUUAAAACUCGUGCUCUGAAUGAAGAGACCCUUCAAACAGGCUUUGUCGGUGGCGUCUUGCCAUGUGGCCUAGCCUGGUCUUGAACUCCUCCUGGGCUCAAGCAGUCUUCCUGGGUUGGCCUCCCAAAGUGCUGGGAUUACAGGCAUGAGUCACUGUGCCUGGCCCACCUCAGCUUUCUCAUUUGUCAACUUGGAGAUGAUAUUACCUACCUCCCAGGAUUACUGUAAAAAUCAAAUGAAAUCAUGUUUAUGGAAGUGUUUUCCUAAAGAGGUAAUUAAAUAUAAGGAAUUAUAAGUACGGUAAUGUAAGGUUAGCCGAGAGAAAGGACAAGUAGACCUAAAGUCAGGCACGCGAGUUUAUGGCGUGAGAGGGGCUUAAGGGAGUCUCCAGACUAAGAUAAUCUAUCAGCUUGUAACAAGCACAAAUAGGUUAUCAGCUUGUGACAGACUUACAUCAUCCUGUGACUUUUGUGGCGGCAGUUAAAAAAACAGAAUUUUGCAGCUAUGUGUAAAACAAGAAUUUACAAGUAUGUGUAGCAAAGGUUUGUUUCCCAUGACCUCCCCACACUGCCCAGAUGGCUGUGAUCAGGCUUUGCUCAGCUGGCAGGUCUGGCAGCCUUGCUGCGGCCCCUAGAUAAGAGUUUAGGAAUGCAGCUGCAGAGCAGUCAGGGUAAAGGUCAGCUGAGGGGGUUUUGGGGGCAGCUUGUCCCUGACAAGUAAAUGACAAGUAAAGUAAUGAUAGUUGUGUAAUGAUUUGUGGACAGAGUUAAAGAUUUACAGGCACCUGUGUUGGCUUUAUUUAAACCGGAGGUGGCCAAAAAUAGCUCAUCCUCAUCCUAUGUAGAAUUUUUAUUUUUUAUUUUAUUUUUUUUAUUGAGACGGAGUUUUGCUCUUGUUACCCAGGCUGGAGUGCAAUGGCGCGAUCUUGGCUCACCACAACCUCCGCCCCCUGGGUUCAGGCAAUUCUCCUGCCUCAGCCUCCCGAGUAGCUGGGAUUACAGGCACGCGCCGCCAUGCCCAGCUAAUUUU